AGCAAAACUCUGUCUCAAAAAAAAAAAAAGAAAAAUUCACAGAUGAACUGUGUGGCCUACAGAUAUCUUGAAUGCAAAAAAUAUAUGUAGAUACUAGUCUAUCAUUUACUACCACAGAAUACACAAAUCUAUUAAAAGUUAAAUUUUAUGAAAACAUACAGACUGUACAUGUAAGCAAAUUUAAAAUGCAGUAUUAAAUCAUAACUCUGUAGCCGCCACUGUCCGGCCACAGCCCCACGCUCUUCGCUGUCACUUGUCAUCUCGCACAGGGUGGCUCCAGUUCUGGUGUUUGGCGCCAGAAUAAACCACCAUGUCGAGCAAAAAGGCAAAGACGAAGACCACCAAGAAAUGCCCUCAGUGCACAGUAUGCAAUGUGUUUGCCAUGUUUGACCAGUCACAGAUUCAGGAGUUCAAAGAGGCCUUCAACAUGAUUGAUCAGAACAGAGAUGGUUUCAUCAACAAGGAAGAUUUGCAUGAUAUGCUUGCUUCUCUAGGGAAGAAUCCCACUGAUUCCUACCUUGAUGCCAUGAUGAAUGAGGCACCAGGGCCCAUUAAUUUCACCAUGUUUGGUGAGAAGUUAAAUGGCACAGAUCCUGAAGAUGUCAUCAGAAAUGCUUUUGCUUGCUUUGAUGAAGAAGCAACAGGCACCAUUCAGGAAGAUUACCUGAGAGAGCUGAUGACAACCAUGGGGGAUCAGUUUACAGAUGAGGAAGUGGAUGAGCUGCACAGAGAAGCGCCUAUUGACAAAAAGGUGAAUUUCAAUUACUUCGAGUUCACAAGCAUCCUGAAACAUGGAGUAAAAGACAAAGAUGACUGAAAAGAACUUUAGCUAAAACCUUCCAAUUACAUUGUCUUACUCUGUUUUAUUUCUCACACACUUCCCCCACCCUCAUAGAACCUGUUGCAUGCAACUUAGUUUCACAGCUUUGUCUUUUUUUUAAUGUAUUUAUUCCAGAACUUUCUGCCACUUAGCACUUGUAUAAUCAGACUGGAAAUGGGGAUGAGGGCAUAAAUUGUAUUGAAAAAGAGAUCGCCAAUAAAAAUUAACAAAUGUGAAAGCCC